CAGCUGAGCCCAAUUAACCUGCGGGGGAGGAGUAAGGUGGGGCUGAAAGAGCGAGCUGGGAAGGGCUGUGCCUCACUUGGUGGUGUGGCUUGCUUGGAGGUAGCUGUCUCGGAGAAGCCCCUCUGAUGGGAAGCUGCUUUGAAGUUACUUGUUUCUGCAGUAUGUGUGUGGUCCUCAGCACAAGGGAGAACGGCCUGCAGCUGCAGUGCCCUGACAGUUGUGCUCCAACCCCCCAUGCUUCACUGGGACUGUACAAAAGUUGCCAGAGGAAUGUUACCUGACA